rnacentral:rRNA from 1 species
AACGAACGCUGGCGGCAUGCCUAACACAUGCAAGUCGAACGAGACCUUCGGGUAUAGUGGCGCACGGGUGCGUAACGCGUGGGAACCUGCCCUUAGGUUCGGAAUAACUCCCCGAAAGGGGUGCUAAUACCGGAUAAUGUCUUCGGACCAAAGAUUUAUCGCCUUUGGAUGGGCCCGCGUUGGAUUAGCUAGUUGGUAGGGUAAAAGCCUACCAAGGCGACGAUCCAUAGCUGGUCUGAGAGGAUGAUCAGCCACACUGGGACUGAGACACGGCCCAGACUACUACGGGAGGCAGCAGUGGGGAAUAUUGGACAAAUGGCGAAAGCCUGAUCCAGCAAUGCCGCGGGAGUGAUGAAGGCCUUAGGGUUGUAAAGCUCUUUUACCCGGGAUGAUAAUGACAGUACCGGGAGAAUAAGCUCCGGCUAACUCCGUG